UACGUAAGGGGCAAGCGUUGUCCGGAAUCACUGGGCGUAAAGCGCACGUAGGCGGCUUAGUAAGUCAGGGGUGCAAGCUCCAGGCCUAACCUGGAAAUUGCCUCUGAAACUGCUUCGCUUGAGUAUCAGAGGGGAAGCUGGAAUUCACGGUGUAGCGGUGAAAUGCGUAGAUAUCGUGGAGAACACCCGUGGCGAAGGCGGGCUUCUGGCUGAUUACUGACGCUGAGGUGCGAAAGCUAGGGGAGCGAACGGG
rnacentral:rRNA from 1 species